AGCUUUGCGCAGUGGCAGUAUCGUAGCCAAUGAGGUUUAUCCGAGGCGCGAUUAUUGCUAAUUGUAAACUUUUCCCAACAAUGUUUUUAUCCAGCCUCUUAAAACAUCCUAUUCUUUGCUUGUAACUUAUAUUGUUAUAUCAAAUUUCAGUAUUUCUAUUUUAGC
ensembl:snRNA LOC120097287 U4 spliceosomal RNA